rnacentral:rRNA from 1 species
UAGGUGGUUUAUUAAGUCUUGGGUAAAAGCCGGAAGCUCAACUUCCGCGUUUGCUUAAGAUACUAAUAGACUAGAGGGGCAAAGAGGUGCUUGGAACCAACGGUGUAGUAGUGAAAUGCGUUGAUAUCGUUGGGAACACCGAAAGCGAAGGCAGAGCACUGGGUGCCACCUGACACUGCUAGGACGAAAGCGUGGGUAGCGAAUGGGAUUAGAUACCCUGGUAGUCCACGCCGUAAACGAUGUUCACUAGGUGUUGGGGGUAUUGACCCCCUCAGUGUCGAAGUUAACGCAUUAAGUAUACCGCCUGGGGAGUACGCUCGCAAGGGUGAAACUCAAAAGAAUUGACGGGGGCCCGCACAAGCAGUGGAGCAUGUGGUUUAAUUCGAUGCAACGCGAAGAACCUUACCUGGGCUCGAAAUGUAGAGGACGAUAUCAGAGAUGAUAUUUCUCGAAAGGGUCUCUAUAUAGGUGCUGCAUGGCUGUCGUCAGCUCGUGCCGUGAGGUGUUUGGUUAAGUCCAGCAACGAGCGCAACCCUUAUCGUUAGUUGCCAACGCGUAAUGGCGGGAACUCUAACGAGACUGCCUGGGUUAACCAGGAGGAAGGUGAGGAUGACGUCAAGUCCGCAUGGCCUUUAUGUCCAGGGCUACACACGUGCUACAAUGGUCGGUACAGAAGGCGGCGAAACCGCAAGGCGGAGCAAAUCCUUUAAAACCGAUCUCAGUUCAGAUUGUAGACUGCAACUCGUCUACAUGAAGUUGGAAUUGCUAGUAAUGGC